CAGGAACUGGGUAGACUGUACAUCUCUGCCUGAGGGCUGCAGCAAACCAAGAAGCCAGGCAGGAGCAGGAGCAGGAGCAGGAGCAGCAGCUGCUCUGGCAGCUCCCAGGCUGGAGCCUGAGCCAACAGGAGGAUCUCAAAAUCUUCUGCAAAGUUGAAUUUUCUUCCCCAACAUGCCCACAGCAGCUGGAUGCUGGUGCCUCCUCCAGCAGCCCUGGGUUGUAUCCAUCUGACAACACACCUCCAGUGACUCUCUUAAUUAAGUCUCCCGCACUGCUGCGAGACUGUCACAGUGAUUUUGCACUGCAGAACUCCACAGAGUCCAACCAGCAAAGCUGCAGGAGCUGGAAGUUGCAGCAGCAAUGCAGGAGUGAGCCAAGGAGCCAGGUCAGAAAAGAAAACCCCUCUGGGUACCUGCUGCACCCUCAGGUGGGAACUUGGAGCUAUUCCAAACCAGUAACUCCUAAGAGAUGGGAUGUCAGUGGAUCAUCAAUUCUGAGGCACAAUAACAGCAUUUUAGUGCUUGGGAUUGUCUUACCUGUGUUUGUUCUAGCAGAGGUGUCUGCCUGCUGGGUUUAGCUCCCCACAUUCCUGAUGGGGAUUCCCUUUAGCCUGCAGCUUCCUGCAGAUAACUCCCAUGAUAAUGCUGGGAAUGAUCAGUGUAAAUACUCCCUAUGGAAAAGCAGCUUGUUUCUCAGAAUGAGGUUAUUGUCCUUUCAAAUGGAGUAACAAAAGGCAAAUUUACUGAGUAUACAACUCACUGAAGUACUGCAUCUUUCAGAGAUAUGUGAUGAUUUCUUUAAAACUUGGUGGAUUUUUGCCCAAAUCAAAGGAUUUUGUCUCAUCAGCUACACUGGGAUUUCCCAGAGGGCCUGAGACAACACAUCCUCAGCCUCCUGGACCUUGGCUGAACUGAUGCAUAAUGUGUGGAAACUUCCCAACAGGAACAAGCAACCCUGGAAGGCCAAGAUUACCACUGAUCUGGUUUUGGGGGGGAAAAAAAAAAGAAAAAGACAACUGAAAUGACGUGUGACAGUCAUUAGCAGAGCAUUGUCAGAACACAAUGGAAGAACAGACAAAAGCCAGUCCAGAUUCUGUGGUAUUUCCUAAAGGGCUCCCUCUGGCACAUGGCUGUUCCCUGCCAAUCCUUCUGUAUUGUUUUUGAUAAUGAAUAGAAGCUGAACAGAUGAUUGUUGUAUUGUCCACUAAGUGAUUCAUUUACAUUAAA